AAGAAAUCAAAGCAUGAUGAAAAAGAAGCAAAGAAACUGCAGGACAAUGUAUAAUCUUUGCAGCUAAGACUUUCUGACAUAGAGCAUAUCUGCAGAAAUCUCCAAGAGAAGUUUAUGCAGAUGGAAGAUCUGUCUUGACAUUCUAUAAAACCAAUGGAGUCCCAUAUAUGAUGUUGCUGCUAUCCUAACGUCAAUUCAGGUCUAUACUCCGAGGACUGCGCCUUAUGCUAUUGAGGAAAUUGAUGUGGUUCGUCAGCAAUGGGCGAAUUUUUUUUACCAGCAAGUAUUUAUUAUUGA